GCUCUAAGGAUGUACAGACAUAAAGAUGUACGUAUCCUGAUCAUUUCAGCCUCUCAUGCCAGGCGAUUGGUCGGUGAGGACUUGAACGAGCUUACUGGUAGUAGUAACUGAACUUGGUUAUGAGAGAACAUUGGAUUGCUGCAGUGCAAUGGAUGUCUGGUGCUAGGUAUUUCUCUGCGACCGUUUCUCAGGAAGCUCUCUGCAUGUCCCUCUUCAUCUCAGAAGCCAAUUCCAUGGAACCCGAUCUAAAACAGAUGGAGAUGACAUUCAUGUCGUUUAUAAACACUUAGCCAGAGUAAUCUGGAGGAUGUUUUCAGUAAUAAAUUCAGAGUCACACUUUGAACACGAAAACAAGUAUCUUUUCUUUAUUCCCUCGCCUAUUCUAAACAGAUUCUUCAGUAAUUUGAACAAGAUCUAGUCUGUAUUAUGUUAAAGAGAGUUUUAAAAAUAAACUCCACAUUAAUAAUUUGAAAGUCUAUUUUCUCAGUUUUGUAAUUUUUCCUUACUGAUACUGAUUGAUGAUA
rnacentral:lncRNA from 1 species